ensembl:snoRNA SNORD58 Small nucleolar RNA SNORD58
UUGCUGUGAUGACAAUCUUAGGACACCUUUGGAUUAAUCAUGAAAAGAAAUCUGUUCUGAGCAAC